rnacentral:rRNA from 1 species
GACGAACGCUGGCGGCGUGCUUAACACAUGCAAGUCGAACGGAAAGGCCAUGCUUUUGUGGGGUGCACGAGAGGCGAAGGGGUGAGUAAAACGUGAGUAACCCGCACUUGUCUUAGGGAUAAAUUCAGGAAAAUGGGGCUAAAACCGGAUAAGAGCUCCUGCUGCAUGGGGGGGGUUGGAAAGUUACGGCCGUGUGGGCUGGAAUAGCGGCUUAUCCGCUUGUUGGGGGGGUAGGCGCGGACCACGGCUUUGACGGGUAGCAGGCCUGGGAGGGUGACCGGCCACCUUGGGCCUGAGGUAGGGCCCAGUCUCGUACGGGAGGCAGCAGGGGGGAGUAUUGCACAAUGGGCGGAAGCCUGAUGCAGCAACGCCGCGUGCGUGAUGACGGCCUUCGGGUUGUAAACCGCUUUCGCCUGUGCCGAAGCGUGAUUGACGGUAAUGGGUCAAGAAGCACCGGCUAACUACGUG